UACGAAGGGGGCGAGCGUUGUUCGGAAUUAUUGGGCGUAAAGAGCUCGUAGGCGGUUCGUCGCGUCGGCUGUGAAAUCCCGAGGCUCAACCUCGGGUCUGCAGUCGAUACGGGCGGACUGGAGUUCGGCAGGGGAGACUGGAAUUCCUGGUGUAGCGGUGAAAUGCGCAGAUAUCAGGAGGAACACCGGUGGCGAAGGCGGGUCUCUGGGCCGAUACUGACGCUGAGGAGCGAAAGCGUGGGGAGCGAACAGG
rnacentral:rRNA from 1 species